rnacentral:lncRNA from 13 species
AUGUUCUGGAACACAACGCACAGCGAGCAUCACAGCACCUGGAAUAACCCAGCGAGAGACCAAGCUGCUCUCUGUUCUCUCUCUCUCGGAGUUAAGACAGUUGUUCAUCGAUAUAAACAUCCCACAGCUUGCUGUGGUACAUCUUACCAGGUGCACACACCUUCUUCUGGUUAUUGGAGGAUGAAUCUGUGUAACGGCACUGUCCGUCGUGUGUGUGUGUGUGCGUGCGUGCUGGCAAUUGCCCGCCUUUGGCCACGGCUGUAAAAAAAAAAUGAAAAGCUGAUUUAUAAACGUGGACAGAUUGACCGGGAGAGAAAAAACAACGGUAGGCAGGCGAUCAGCGCAUCACCGACCACUUUACAAUGUGAGCUGGAGGCAGUAUGCAUUUUGAAAACAUACUUAAUUGUUUGAAACCUGAGUAUUUCACUUCAUAAUAUGAGGCAUAUCUUACCUUGCUUGAUGGACAUAUUGAUACACCCGGGAUCAUUGGCGGCUAAAUCAUAGAUGGCCGCUGUAGCCGUUGGCCUACAACUUCCAUUGUCAACUUAUUCAAAUACAUAAGGCCGAAAAAAUGUCAUCUUUAGAAAAUAUACUGAUGAGAAUUCGGGUUCUUUCAAUCGCAAUCUCUCUACUCAGCGCAUAUGCCUCCCUUUCUAUCUGUCUUGACUUGAGCUAUUGCUAGUGAAGUGCAACGUUGUAUCAAAUCAACUGGCUCAGGCAAGAAGCUGUCUAUAGGGAACUUGCAACAUUGUAUCAACUAGCCUAUUCUGGGCCCUCAGAGUUUCCCAAACCGGGACAGACAACUGUUUUUGCUCAAGGGAAAGUUAUUUUAAGACGUUUCCACUGGAUAUAUGGGAUCAUCAGAUGAUCAUAUUUUGCUCUUUCACACCGAGGCUUGGUGAUUAUCAACGGGGGGGGGAACUAAUUUCCACGCAGCAGGCCAGGUACUUCUAUGCUUGCCCAGGCGCGCACUCCCUCAACAUUAUCAGGACAGAGAAACCAGACCAACGCUCACUGUUCACAUGGAUCACUCCAAAUAAAAGGCAAUGAACGGGGGAAAAAAAUGGACAACUCGUAAAUGAUGGUUAUAAAGUAAACCCGGACUUGCUUCUCAGAAGUGUAACGGGAACUCUGCAAAGAACGUUUCCACUCUGAGAAUGAGAAUGGUAAAUGACUCUAGAUCUAAUUAGGCAUACAGCGCAUUAACAGAAAUUAAUGUAACCGAAUGGUACGUUUGCUACUGGUGACAUAUAUGUGAUGGGUAAUUCGUAAAACAGAAACAAUCAAGCGGCAAAC